rnacentral:lncRNA from 1 species
CGAAGGCGGAUGCUUAACCCACUGAGCCACCCAGGCGCCCCUCUACUUAGAAUAUAUACAUAUGUGUGUGUGUGUGUGUGUGUGUGUGUGUGUGUGUGUGUGUGUGUGUAAAAUCACCCUCUAACUUAUUUGUUGACUUAUUUCAUGGAAAUGGGUCAUUAUGCUUUACCCAGGCAUGUACUAGGCUGCAAAUCCUCAGGAGCAAAUACACAAAUAAAACUUUGCUCCAUUCAAUGCCUUGUUGCCUCUGAUUUGAGACAUAGUCAAAGGACAAUUCUUAUCCUGGCCCUGGCACAUACAACCCGGAGAUGAAGCCACCCCCCAAAAUCACUUGGCCAAUGAAAUUUGGAUCUCCAGACUGGGCUCAGGUUCCAUGUCUACAGAAAAGAACCCUAAAAGCUGAGGUAAGAAGACUUGAAUUUAUGUAGAGCCCUCUCUCUGGUACUUUCAUAUGUAUCAGGAAUUCUUAUCCAGAAAGAGCUGCAGGAAGUCCUUGCUCCCCUGACAGUAGUUUGUGCGGUUUUGUGCAGAUAUGCAUAUGAGAACCCUUUUGGAGA